rnacentral:lncRNA from 1 species
ACUUAGUAGAACAUGGGCAGCCACACUUUCUUCUUCCUGCUGCUUCACAGCACUGGAGACCAGCAUGCCAGAGGCAACUGGGGAUACCUGGAUCAAGUGGCUGCCCUAUGCUGGGUGCAGAAGAAUAUCACUUACUUUGGAGGCAACCGUGACAGGGUCACUAUAUUUGGAGUCUCAGCAGGAGGCACAAGUGUGUCUUCCCAUAUUCUGUCCCGUGUCCAAAGGACUCUUUCAUGGAGCCAUUAUGCAGAGUGGAGUGGCCCAACUGCCUGGGCUCAUCUCUGACACUUCUGAGGUGGUCUACAAGACAGUAGCCAACCUAUCUGGUUGUGAAGCCACAGACUCAGAAGCCCUGAUCCACUGCCUGAGAGCAAAGAGUAAACAAGAGAUCCUGGCUAUUAACCAGGUCUUCAAGAUGAUCCCUGGUGUGGUGGAUGGGGAGUUCCUACCCAAGCAUCCUCAGGAGCUGCUGGCCCUAAGGAUUUUCACCCUGUCCCCAGCAUCAUUGGUGUCAACACAGACAAAUAUGGCUGGGGAGUCCCCACGGUGAGACCUAGUUCUAAGCCCCUGGGAAUGUAAACUCAAAUGGUGGGUGAUAGAAACUCAGAGAUACUUUCAUGUAGUUCCAAACCAUCCAAUACUUAAGACUAUUCCCUGCCUCCCAGAUCAUGGGCCUUUAUCAUAUCAUAGAGAACAUAACCAGAGAGACCCUGCCAGCUGUUCUGAAGAGCACAGCAGCACAGAUGGUGAGACACUCCUUGGCUUCUGUAUUGAUAGAGAUGGUCCCAUAU